AAUAGAUACCCGGGUAGUCCACGCCGUAAAACGAUGAGUGCUAAGUGUUAGAGGGCUUCCACCCUUUUAGUGCUGCAGCUAACGCAUUAAGCACUCCGCCUGGGGAGUACGGCCGCAAGGCUGAAACUCAAAGGAAUUGACGGGGGCCCGCACAAGCGGUGGAGCAUGUGGUUUAAUUCGAAGCAACGCGAAGAACCUUACCAGGUCUUGACAUCCUUCGCUACCUCUAGAGAUAGAGGGUUCCCCUUCGGGGGACGGAGUGACAGGUGGUGCAUGGUUGUCGUCAGCUCGUGUCGUGAGAUGUUGGGUUAAGUCCCGCAACGAGCGCAACCCUUGACCUUAGUUGCCAGCAUUCAGUUGGGCACUCUAAGGUGACUGCCGGUGACAAACCGGAGGAAGUGGGGAUGACGUCUAAUCAUCAUGCCCCUUAUGACCUGGGCUACACACGUGCUACAAUGGAUGGUACAAAGGGUCGCGAAACCGCGAGGUGAGCUAAUCCCAAAAAACCAUUCUCAGUUCGGAUUGCAGGCUGCAACUCCG
rnacentral:rRNA from 1 species